rnacentral:rRNA from 11 species
CUCAGCGAUGAAUGCCAUGACUCCGACGAUGAUGACAAUCACAGACCAUAGCGAUAUGUACCUCGCAAAUACCGACGACGACGGGUCCUCAAAC